UAACACUCACUUAUAUAAGAGUUUAUAAAAUAAUAUAAACCAAAUCAAAAUAAUUACCAAAUAAAUUCAAAGCUAAAUGAAAUUAUUACGAGCAUCAAAUAAUACUUUACUCUCCUUUCUCCUCCAAUAAACACUUAUGAAAUUGUGUAAUAUAUGGCAUUAGGCUCCACCCUCCUAUUGGCGCUGAGCGUGCAACCGAGAUAGGCAGCUUGGAAGGCAGAGACCUUAAAGUUUCUGGAACAAGUUGGGGCACAAACAGCCUCGAUGUAUCGCUGGCCGGGCUAGGUUGGUUGUCUUUGGGUCUCAAAGGUGAAGCAACCUUGAAACUGUGGACAUUCGAUGGCAUCAAAAUAACUCAAAGAGAGCCGUUAGUUCUUGACCGAGCACGGUUCCUUGAAAGACCUGGUUUUUGGCUUCCUAAGGCUAUUUCCGAGGCGAUCGGUUAUCAAUCUAAGCUUGAAGCUCAACAGAAAAAUCUUCAAGAGGAAAUGUUGUCCAACACUUGAAACCAUCACUUUAUAAUAUAAAGUUUUCUUCAUACACAGUGAAAGACACUUCCCAAGAUCAACUUCAUACCAAUUUUAGGUGUUUCAACAGUUAUUUAAUUUCAUAAUAUUUGAUUGUAAAUUUUGACUAUUUUAGUAUUUAAAAAUUGAUUAAUUUGUGGUAAUUGCAUAUAAAUUCAUAUUAUCUUUUUUCUCCUAA